rnacentral:tRNA from 1 species
CAGGAAUUAACAUAUUAAAUGUAUCUCACUUACAUUGAGAAAAUAAUUAAUUAUUUUAAUUAUUCUUGA